CGGCCUCUCAAGCCACGGAGGGGGAGAAAAGGGGACGGGACACCGGCUCUACAACUGCUGACACCCGCGUCGCCUCUGCCACCGCCCAGCCCAGCCACCGUCCAGUCCCCGCCAUGCGUCUUCACGUCCCCGCGUGCACCACCGAAGCCACCCAACGCCGGCACACGGCCCCCGCCUGUCUCCGCCCCGCUGCUAACACCGGCACAGAUCUCGUCAGUAUCCGCUACGCCAACAACUCUCCCCGGCAACGCGAAACAGCGACAGUUUUCUGCUUUCCUCUUCUACCUCACCACUUCCUCUUCAGAGCCCCAAAAAAGGGAUGGGUUAUCAGGAAAAAAGGGGUUUAAGCUGAGGGAAAAAGCUUCCUUUUCCACAAUUGCCUGUGUUCAAAUUGAAGAGAAAUCCACUUUCCCUGCAAUUUUAGUAGUCUCAAUUGGAGCAUUUCAAAGGUUUAAAGCUGCAUUUCAGGGCACUUCUACCCACACCCCGGCACCAAAUAUCUGCGACGGGAGCGAGGCCAGCAGGAGGAUUGCAAUUUCCAGAAGUUCUAGGCCACGUCAAGUGCAAUAUUUCAGAUUCUCUCAGCAGAUUCAUCGUAACACAAAAGGGAACCGCCCCCACAGCAGCUUUCCUUAGCAGCGGAUCGGCCUCUCGCACAGAUUCGCUUCGGAGAGAUAAGUCCAGGGCCGUGGUCACAGAGGGGAUCAAAGCAGGGCGGUGGGUUAGGAUUCACACCGUUUAGGGGUUUUGAGUCAGCUAUGGGGAGGGGAAGGUUUGAGAAAUGGCCAUUGGGGCCACAGUGAGGGAAAGGCUCACUUUAGCUAACAAUGCUGAGGUGGGCAGGGCAGAGCAGUCCCGGGGGGUUGUCACUUGUCUCUCGUGCUUUCUGUAUAUUCCGUGCAUCUCGUGUAACGUGCCUCUUGCCUUAGCCCUCCCAGGAGCUUCUGAGAAACCCCAGGUCCUUCCAUUCAUCUCCCAUCUUUGCGUUCCUCGGCCCGACGCCGGCGCAACUUUGAUUCUGGAGCUCUGACACGCGUCAGAAUCGCAUCUGUCUUCAGAAGCACGCGAUCGUACGUUUUUUUAGGUCUCGUUCUCAGCUGUGUCAACAGCUAUAUGCAGCAGUGUUUCUUUACAGUGGAUAAGGACUUGUGCCAAUUCAAAGGCAGGCAGAGGCUUCCAGCCACAGGAUUCUCAGGCAUCCGUCUCUGCGGUUCUUGGAAAAAGUUGUUCCUUUAGCAUCUUUUUCCUCCAGGGUCAUCUGAUCCCGACAGGCUCGCCUGGGGUCCCUCCUCGGUCAUCACGUUCAGCAUUCUCUUGGUCCUCGUGAGGACUUUCUUGUCUCAGAGUUUUCUCUCCCUGUCACGUCCCCUCGUCUCACGUGUCACGAGUGUCUGGGGGUAUUUGGUCCGGAGCUGCUCUGCCCUGCCGCCCAGCCGGGUUGUAGGCGUUUAAGGACAAGUCCCGGGCACUUGUAAUCGGAGACUUGUAGUACGGGCUGUAGUUGGAGUCUAGGUGGUAUUCUUAUGUUGGCAGAAGGUGUUUGGAGCUGUGAGGUUACCCUGCAGCACUUUGACUCUUUUCCU